rnacentral:ncRNA from 1 species
ACUAUACCGCUUUAUUAUGCACAAAUAAAGUUAAAGAUUGUAUAGUAAUCCACGUGGUAGAGGCAUAAGUUAAUGGUUUACUUAUGGUGCAACUCUUUAAAACCAGCUCUAAAGCAAGUAUAAGAGAUUAAUAAGCUACACCUAUGAUAGGCUUAAUUAGGUUCUUGACAGUCUGACACUAACUGAACAAUAAGUGUUA